rnacentral:rRNA from 1 species
AUUGAACGCUGGCGGCAGGCCUAACACAUGCAAGUCGAACGCGUGGCGGACGGGUGAGCAAUGUCUGGGAAACUGCCUGAUGGAGGGGGCACACUACUGGAAACGGUAGCUAAUACCGCAUAACAUCAUAUGUGCCCAGAUGGGAUGAGCUUGUGGGUGGGGUAACGGCUCACCAAGGCGACGAUCCCUAGCUGGUCUGAGAGGAUGACCAGCCACACUGGGACUGAGACACGGUCCAGACUCCUACGGGAGGCAGCAGUGGGGAAUAUUGCACAAUGGGCGCAAGCCUGAUACAGCCAUGCCGCGUGUAUGAAGAAGGCCUUCGGGUUGUAAAGUACUUUCAGCGGGGAGGCGUUACCCACAGAAGAAGCACCGGCUAACUCCGUGCCAGCAGCCGCGGUAAUUC